GGAACCAGGCAAACUAAUCAGAAGAAAAUGAAGAACGGCUGAGGCAGAAUGCAGCUGAGGCAUUUCUUCAGACAGAGAAACAAGUGGCAGCUGUGGGCCUCGGGGUAUCGAUUGUAUGCUGAGGACUAAUGGCCAUGACAAAGGCAGUGUGGGGAGGCGUGCAAGAAGAGGAGGAGAAAUUAUCAGGGAAAGUGACUGAAGGGAACGGGGUGAACAAUGAAGAACCCAAGAGACGACGUCGCAGAAUUCUUUGUAGCACAUUUCAUGUUACCAACACGCGUGUUACAUCGAUAUUGUUGCUUUUAGAUAACGUUCAAACUUUUUCUGCCUGUCGGAUUUUCAAAUGUAAAGAUAAAUAAAUAAACACAACAAUGUCGGCCCCGCUGAAAGAAUUUGUUGUGUUAGCAGGUCUUGCACUGGAAAGUAAAUCUUAUCUGCUUGUGCAAAAAAAAAAAUUAAGAAACUCAUUUCAGCUUUAGAAAAACUCCAGGAUUCACAAAAAAGCAGAACUGGGUGGAAACAAGGCAAUUUGCCAAUAUAAUGUGGAACAAUAAAGUGCUUAAACCUUCUC